AUGGGGCGAAGGGCGCCGCGGGCCAGACUUACCCAGCAGCAGCAGCUUGAGCUCCCGGCGGGCGUCCCGCUUGUCCCGCUUGAGCUGCCUCUCGAUCUCGUCGUUGAUCCGGCGCGCUUCCUUGGCUUCCUCGCUCAGGCAGCACGCCAUGAUGGACUCCAGAGUCAUUCUUCCCAACUGGUUGAGGCGCAGCCCCCGCCCCCACCCCCAAAACACGCGCCGCGCCCCCCGACACACAAAGCCGCCGCCGACGCAGGGAGGGAGAAAGCCCGGCUGCCGCUCCCGAGCUGCGAGCCCCCCGCCUCACUCCCGGGAAGAGCAGAGCCAGGCGAGCCUGACACGCGGAGACGCGCGCUCACACGCAGCCACCACGCGCCCCCCGCCUUCCUCGCCGCCGCCCCCCGACGCCGCCUCCGGGCACACGCGCGGCUCCCCACUCCGCCUCCUCCUCGCCCGAUCAUGCACCAAACAGGGGGAACAUCCAGCCGGGGAGGCAGCGGCAGCAGCGAGAGAAAGGGAAAGACCGUCGCGGGGAAGCAGCGCCCUCUCUUUGUCCCCCCCCCGCCCCCUCUAAGCUGCCUCACCCCGACGUGCCCUGCCCGCCCGCGGCUGGCCAAGCGAAGCGCCCCCCACACAUUGGCAGCGCCCACCCCGCCUCCCCUCGCCCCCGCCCAGAAGCCGCCCGAGGUUGUCCGCGCGGGGCGGGGUCGGCAAGGGCCGGACCCCGCGGGAGCCUCCGGGGGCUCCCAAGCUCCUCGCAGCGAGGCUCCCUCCCCGCUCCCUGCGCUCCGAGGGGGACGCGGCCCAGGACGGCUUGGGCCGGGGAGGAGCGGCUCUUCCUUUCUCGGGGCCGCCUUCCCCUUACUGCAAGAAAAGGGGGGAGGGCAAGAGGGCCGGCCGCCCGCCCGAGGUGUGUCGCCAGCCGGACUCGGGCGGCUCGGCUCCCCGGGCGUGGCGAGGCAGAAAUAUGGCGGACCUUUUCUCUCGCUCGCUGCUCUGCGCGCUCCACGCUCCCCUCCGCCCCGAAAUGAAAUCCCAGGAAAGUAA
rnacentral:lncRNA from 1 species